GUAGGGUGCGAGCGUUGUCCGGAAUUAUUGGGCGUAAAGGGCUCGUAGGCGGUUUGUCGCGUCGGGAGUGAAAACACUGGGCUUAACUCAGUGCUUGCUUUCGAUACGGGCAGACUAGAGGUAUGCAGGGGAGAACGGAAUUCCUGGUGUAGCGGUGAAAUGCGCAGAUAUCAGGAGGAACACCGGUGGCGAAGGCGGUUCUCUGGGCAUUACCUGACGCUGAGGAGCGAAAGUGUGGGGAGCGAACAGGAUUAGAUACCCUGAUAGUCCACACCGUAGACGUUGGGCGCUAGGUGUGGGGCCUAUUCCAUGGGUUCCGUGCCGCAGCUAACGCAUUAAGCGCCCCGCCUGGGGAGUACGGCCGCAAGGCUA
rnacentral:rRNA from 1 species